rnacentral:rRNA from 1 species
CAGCCGCCACGGUAAAACGUAGGGUGCAAGCGUUAAUCGGAAUUACUGGGCGUAAAGCGUGCGCAGGCGGCUUGUUAAGACAGAUGUGAAAUCCCCGGGCUCAACCUGGGAACUGCAUUUGUGACUGGCAAGCUAGAGUAUGGCAGAGGGGGGUGGAAUUCCGCGUGUAGCAGUGAAAUGCGUAGAUAUGUGGAGGAACACCGAUGGCGAAGGCAGCCCCCUGGGCUAAGAUUGACGCUCAUGCACGAAAGCGUGGGGAGCAAACAGGAUUAGAUACCCCUGUAGUCCCUGUCUCUUAUAC